GUCCACACCGUAAACGUUGGGCGCUAGGUGUGGGAUCCAUUCCACGGGUUCCGUGCCGCAGCUAACGCAUUAAGCGCCCCGCCUGGGGGAGUACGGCCGCAAGGCUAAAACUCAAAGGAAUUGACGGGGGCCCGCACAAGCGGCGGAGCAUGCGGAUUAAUUCGAUGCAACGCGAAGAACCUUACCUGGGUUUGACAUAUGCCGGAAAGCGCCAGAGAUGGUGCCCCUUUUUGUCGGUAUACAGGUGGUGCAUGGCUGUCGU
rnacentral:rRNA from 1 species